UUUCAAUCGUCACUCCCUAAUGCCAAAACCAAAAAUCUUAUCCCCUUUCCUUCUACUCUGAACAACCAAGGCAAUUUGGCUCCUAUUCAUCCCAAAUCGAUCUUAAGGUCUCUCCCUCCAGGUACUGUUCUUCUUUCUUCUUUAGUGAUCUUUUUGCUAAUCUAUGCGCUUCUAUAUUUUCAGACCUUGGGAUAAAAUAGAAUCUGACUUUUUGAAAGAAAUCUUUUAAGCUUUGAAUGUCACUGAUAAUUGCUCCUAUUUCUGAUCUGUCUCGAUUUUCACUUUGACAUUUUGUUUUCACUGUUCUUGAAUCUCCUAUUAUGUCUAAAGUGUGAUAUCCCAACUGGGCCCCUAACCUUGUUGCUUGAAAUCCUGCAUGUGCUUCCGCCGCAAGCAGAGAUGCAACAUUGUCAUGAAGGAUUGAUUUUGCUCCAACAAUUCUACCCUCCUCAUUUUUAACGAUGAGGCCUAACGCUAAUCUGUGGUUCUGUGAGUCAAAAGUCGCAUCGAAAAAGAUGGCCUUAGUCGUCCUUUGUAGCCUCUGUCUACGCCUUACGCCGGUUUCCAAGCUUAUUCUUGCUUGUCCAGAUUACCCAUAAACCGUAGCAAAAUCCCAUGCACUGUUCAUUUGUCCCUUUGCUGAAGACCCAGGGCAUCUUUGGAAGACAUGGAUGCUAUCUUCUUUUUCCUAACCACAUCUCGAACAGCAGUCCUCAGUCAUUGCUCUUCUCAGCUUUAGAUUGGAGAAAGUGGGGAUGUAAUUCCACGCAAUUUUCCACACUGUAAUUUUAAUUUUUGAAGGCAUAUGUAGAUUCCAUAAUUUCUUGUAAAAAUUUUUAGAAUCGGGCUGUAAAUAAGCAUUAGGAUCAAUUGUAGUCUCCUGUAAUAGUUUAUAGGCGCUUCUUACUGAAAAGAUUCCAGUUGCCUCUCCUCUCCAUACUUGGAUGUCUUCGUGAAUAGUCUUUGAAAGCGAGAUCUGUAAUAUCUUCUUUGCGAUAUCCGU